AUGGACUUUAUCACCGGAUUGCCCAGGACCAAAGCAGGAUAUGAUUCCAUAUGGGUAGUAGUUGAUCGCUUGACCAAAGUAGCUCACUUCAUCCCAGUGAAAACCACCUAUACGAGUGCAAAGUUGGCCAAGAUAUAUAUGUCCAGGAUCGUAUGUCUGCAUGGAGUUCCGAGGACCAUCGUAUCAGAUCGAGGAACACAGUUUACCUCAAAGUUUUGGCACCAGUUGCACCAGACCCUGGGAACGAGAUUGGAGUUUAGUACAUCAUUUCACCCGCAGACGGAUGGACAAACAGAGAGAGUCAACCAAAUUUUGGAGGACAUG
rnacentral:rRNA from 1 species